rnacentral:rRNA from 1 species
GACAGAGGGUGCAAACGUUGUUCGGAAUUACUGGGCAUAAAGAGCACGUAGGUGGUGCGCUAAGUCACGUGUGAAAUCCCCCGGCUCAACCGGGGAAUGGCGCGUGAUACUGGCGGACUCGAGGCGGGUAGGGGUGAGCGGAACUCCAGGUGGAGCGGUGAAAUGCGUAGAUAUCUGGAGGAACACCGGUGGCGAAGGCGGCAUCCUGGACCGGUAUUGACGCUGAGGCGCGAAAGCUAGGGGAGCAAACGGG